UACGUAGGGUGCGAGCGUUGUCCGGAAUUAUUGGGCGUAAAGAGCUCGUAGGCGGUGUGUCGCGUCGGCCGUGAAAACCUGGGGCUUAACUCUGGGCGUGCGGUCGAUACGGGCAUCACUAGAGUUCGGCAGGGGAGACUGGAAUUCCUGGUGUAGCGGUGAAAUGCGCAGAUAUCAGGAGGAACACCGGUGGCGAAGGCGAGUCUCUGGGCCGAUACUGACGCUGAGGAGCGAAAGCAUGGGUAGCGAACAGG
rnacentral:rRNA from 1 species